rnacentral:pre_miRNA from 1 species
UGUAAAUGAUUGGGGCAAUGAUGAUGAUGAUGAUGAUGACGACGGUGGUCGACAUUUUGUGACGUCAUCAUCAUCAUCAUCAUCAUCGUCAUCAUCA